rnacentral:rRNA from 1 species
CAGUAGCCGCGGUAAUACGUAGGCGGCAAGCGUUGUCCGGAAUUAUUGGGCGUAAAGGGCUCGCAGGCGGUUUCUUAAGUCUGAUGUGAAAGCCCCCGGCUCAACCGGGGAGGGUCAUUGGAAACUGGGAAACUUGAGUGCAGAAGAGGAGAGUGGAAUUCCACGUGUAGCGGUGAAAUGCGUAGAGAUGUGGAGGAACACCAGUGGCGAAGGCGACUCUCUGGUCUGUAACUGACGCUGAGGAGCGAAAGCGUGGGGAGCGAACAGGAUUAGAGACCCGCGUAGUCCCUGUCUCUUAUAC